UACGAAGGGGGCUAGCGUUGCUCGGAAUGACUGGGCGUAAAGGGCGCGUAGGCGGUUUGUACAGUCAGGUGUGAAAUUCCCGGGCUCAACCUGGGGGCUGCACUUGAUACGUAUGGACUGGAGUGGGGAAGAGGGUCGUGGAAUUCCCAGUGUAGAGGUGAAAUUCGUAGAUAUUGGGAAGAACACCGGUGGCGAAGGCGGCGACCUGGUCCUUGACUGACGCUGAGGCGCGAAAGCUAGGGGAGCAAACAGG
rnacentral:rRNA from 1 species